GUCAGUGUGGCCGAGUGGUUAAGGCGGUAGAUUCGAACUCCCUAAUCUCCAGCAUUCGCUUGAAUUAGGCUCGAUUAUCUACUGGGUUCGCCCGCGCCAGUUCGAAUCUGGUCGCUGACG